rnacentral:snoRNA from 1 species
AAAAUUUUCUCACUGGUUGUGUGAUGAAUAAAAUCAAAUCACCAUCUUUCGGCUGA